GAAAUUUUGUGAGGAACCAUUUUAGAAACAUAGUUUCUCUUUCAUUUCCAGCAAUUGACUCUAAUAAGCCUGAUUCUUGUUGCAUUUUGGAUAAAGAGAAGGGCCUUGCUGAGGUCAUUUGCAUUUGCUGUGGCCUCCACUCUUGCUCCUCCAGAUGACCUCCACAUUGCUGGCUUCUUGUUGGGGAUAUACACCUACCUAUAGAGAGACCUCCAAACAGAUAUCAACAUAGAAACCUCCGCAGAGAUAACCAGAUCUCCAUAUGCAAACCCAUGUAAAAAGAAACCUAGAGAAACAGACGCCCAGAUGAAGAGGGGUGUGAGUAUAAGCUUUGCAGAUGGAGCUACCGCCUGGAAGGACUCAAUGUGCUUCGGUGGCUGAUGCCCACUCCUCAAAAAACAAAACAAAACCCAAAACAACAAGUGGUAUAGAGAGAAACAAGAAUUACCAAAAGGGAAAAUUACUUGGUCUAGAAUUAUUUUGUGAUUGUCCAACUACCUGCACCAGUGUCUGACUGAUAACGCAUACUCAGUAGAUAGUGAAUGAAUACAUGUGACAUAAUCUGAUGACCAGACUGUAGCUUGAGUUUAGAAUAGUAAUUCUAUCUGCCUUUUUCUGUUUUGUUUUUCUCUCCUGUCCCUUUGAUCUGUGUAUAUUCCUGUCCUUUGGACACCCACCUCCAUCAAAAUGUCAUAGAAAAAUUCUGUGAAACUUGACUUGCAGGGUCAAAGUGAUGUCAAAGGGAGGUUUGGGGAGAGGCAUGUGAUGAAAAUAGCCCAGCUGAGGUUCCCGUCUGUUUCCCAUGCCAUAGCACUACGCCCUAGGCAGUGUUUCUCCAAGUGUUUCCCCAGCGUCUGCAUCAGUAUCAGCUGGGUUGUUCGUCAAAAAUUCCAAUUCCCAGGCCACACCCCAAAGAAUCUGAUUCAGUGCUUCUGGGCUGGGGCACUCUUAAGUAGUUCUGCAAAACACAGCUUGAGAAUCUCACUUGUAGCUUAAGGAGAGUGAACAAUCUUUUAUCCUUAAUCCUGAAAUCUAAAGAGUACUGAAAACUGAAAACUGCUAGGUUUUCAUAACUCAUUUUGGUGGCAAAAUCUGAUCGAUGAUGUGACAUCACACUAUAAAUGAUCCUUAUUUUUUGCACAUAAUGUGGACAUUCACACAUUUUGCUGCAGAAAUAUUAGUGUGUUUGAUUAGAAGUAGCUCUCCCUGACCCUACUGGGAAUGUUAAGGGAUGUAUGGUAUGUACACUGUGCUGAACUGUCUUUCCAAAAUCCAAAGAAUUCUUUUUUUUUUUUUUUUUGAGACGGAGUCUCGCUCUGUAGCCCAGGCUGGAGCGCAGUGGCGCGAUCUCAGUUCACUGAAACCUCCGCCCCCCUGGAUUCAAGCGAUUCUCCUGCAUCAGCCUCCUGAGUAGCUGGGACUACAGGCGCAUGCCACCACGCCUGGCUAAUUUUUUGUAUUUUUUUUUUGUAGAGACGGGGCUUCACCAUGUUAGCCAGGAUAGUCUCAAUCUCCUGACCUCAUGAUCUGCCCGCCUCGGCCUCCCAAAGUGCUGGGAUUAUGGGCAUGAGCCACUGUGCCCGGCCCAAACAAUUCUUGAAUUCAGAAACACACUUGGGGUUAGGGGGUUCAGGUAAAGGGCACCUGUACUAAAUCCUCACGUGCAGUCUGCAGUCUAUAGGUGGUAUUUGAGUCUGAUUUAAAAAAAAAAAAAAAGCCUAAUAAAAGGAAUGUUGGUUUGGGAGCCAGAAGACUUCAUCUUUCUGGCUUCAAUUCUCUACCCUGAGAAGGAGAAGGCAUUUAAAGUCUUCUGUCUCUAAAAUUUUGAUUUCCACACCUUCUUGCUUUCUUAAGAAAUGUUCAGACAUUACUGCCAUAAAGAUCAGAUUGUUGUGUACUGUUAUUUGUAUUAAAAAUUUAGAAAGGUGAAAAUCUUUUUCUUUCUCAUAGGUUUCCAGACAGAUUCUUGGCUGACAUUUCUGUCAGUGGUGUGAAAGGACAUUUACCCAGAUUCUAUAGAUAUUUUGGUUAUGCACUCAACAAACCUACAAUGAAACUACCAGAAUACAAAAGCAAUUGAGAACUCCAGAGAGUGCUAGAAAACAUUAUGGAAGAGCGUAUAGUUUAUGUUAAUUAUAGAGGACUAAAGAGAUGUAGAAUAGGAGAACUGAAAAAGCCUCCACUUCCAGUGGCUCUUAGAGUGUAAUUAGUCCAAGGGGCAGCAAGCUGCCUUCUAGCAGAAUCCUUGUGAUCCCAAAGCCCACAUGACCGGGGCCUCUCUCUGGUCCUUUAUACAGUAAUUAAUAUUUAAAUGAUCUUGCUAAACCCCUGUCAAGUCCUGAAGCAAGAUUUUGAAAAAUAAAAAAACUCAUAAAACACAAAAUAGAACAAAACAACGAGCUCUGAGUUUGCUCUGUUGAAAGCAAUGGGUUGAACUGUGUCUCCCCAUAAUAUGUAUGUUGAAGUCCUAACCUCUAGUACCUUAGGGUGUGACCUUAUUUGGAGAUGCAGACAUUACAGAAGUAAUCAAGUUAAAGUGAGGUCAUUGGGAUGGGCCCUAAUCUGACACAACUGGUAAUUUGGACACAGGCACAUUCCGGCAGAACACCAUGUGAACAUAAAGGUGGUCAUCUACAGGCCAAAGGGGAGAGGCCUGGGACAGAUCCUUCCCUCACAGGCCUCAGAAGGAACCAACCCUGCCAGCAUCUUGAUGUUGGACUUCUGGCCUCCAGAACUGUGAGACAACAAAUUUGUGAUCUUUUGUUACGACAAUCCUAGCAAAAUACACUGUGACACCCAGUUUCUAAUCUGAUGACAAAGGGAGGCAUCUACAAUCUCUGAGGGUGUGUGCAUUUGGGCACUCAUUUCACCACUGGCUUCAUUUAUGUCCUAUUCUUUUUUUCCAUUUGUUUCAUUUUUCUAAUUUUAUCUUCUAUUUUUAAAAAGUUUACUGUACUAGAUGUAACUUUUUAAGCUGCCUGAAAUUCUUCUUAGGUUUACAAAUGAUUUAAAUUGGUAAAUAAAGAUUAUCAGACCUUAAGCACAUAUAGCACACAUGGUUCGGGUGAAAUAACUAAGUACCAAAAUAUUAAUUUAUAAAACAAAUUAAACAGCAAAAAAUAAAUAGUAAACUCCAACUCUCCUGGAACACUGGAGGAGGAACUGUAAAGGAUGACAAAGAUUUCGUAGAGCAAAUGAUUUCUGCACUCUGGGAAAGAAUUCUUUAGGCAGUACACCACUUUAAAAUGGUGCUUGACUCACCAAAACAUCAGGGCUGUCUUCAACUUUUCACAACACAGAGCAGAGAAGGGGGAAGAUCACUUGCAGAUGGAGUGUGGCAGGAAUUUUGUGAAGUGUAUAAAGAAGUUAGCAAGUGUAUAAAGCCAUUUAUUUACUUUUACUAAGCAUCUGCUUAUGUAGCAGGCACUGCUACUAAGCCAUUUACUAAGCAUCUGCUAUGUAGCAGGCACUUUGCUAGACAUUUGUUAUGGAAUGAAUCAUUUAAUCCUUAUAAUAAACUUGCAAGGAUAUAUUUUAGCCCACCCCCUACUUAAAACCAAUAAAUAUGUGGCUCAGAAAAGUAAAUUAACUUGUCUAAGAGUAAGUAAUUAGUAAAAAGUUGAGCUGGGACUUGAUAUAAAGAAAAAUCUGAUCUAAACUUGACAAUAUUUCUGCUUCCCCAAAUUGCCUCCUUAAAGUUUACACAUUGUUUGGUCUCUUCAAUACACAUCAAAAUUAUCAAUACCUAUAGAAAUGUUAAUGAAAAGUCUUCUGUUAAAUUACAAUAUUUAGAAACUUUAGGCCCAGAGACUAAAAAGUAUGUGAAAUUAGUAUAAAAGUAUGUAAAAUGUUUGUAAAGAAAUGAUGAUACCUUCGUAGACCAAUGUGGCAUGUAAAACAUGUGGGCCACAGAGGAAGAUUAAGAAAAAAAUAUAUGCAAUCAUAAUAAUAAAAGUGGAGUUACUCCAGA